rnacentral:rRNA from 1 species
UUGUCCCCUCAAAUCAGGUAGGAUUACCCGCUGAACUUAAGCAUAUCAAAA